AAGGGAGUAAGAUCGCAGGUAGACUACCUGCUUGAUAGGCGGCGUGUGUAAGCGCAGUAAUGUGUUAAGCUAAGCCGUACUAAUGAUCGAGGGCUUCAUUG
rnacentral:rRNA from 1 species